GAUGAACGCUGACAGAAUGCUUAACACAUGCAAGUCAACUUGAACUUCGGUUUGGGUGGCGGACGGGUGAGUAACGCGUAAAGAACUUGCCUCACAGAUAGGGACAACAUUUGGAAACGAAUGCUAAUACCUGAUAUUAUGAUUUUAGGGCAUCCUAGAAUUAUGAAAGCUAUAUGCGCUGUGAGAGAGCUUUGCGUCCCAUUAGCUAGUUGGAGAGGUAACGGCUCACCAAGGCGAUGAUGGGUAGCCGGCCUGAGAGGGUGAACGGCCACAAGGGGACUGAGACACGGCCCUUACUCCUACGGGAGGCAGCAGUGGGGAAUAUUGGACAAUGGACCAAGAGUCUGAUCCAGCAAUUCUGUGUGCACGAUGAAGUUUUUCGGAAUGUAAAGUGCUUUCAGUUGGGAAGAAAAAAAUGACGGUACCAACAGAAGAAGUGACGGCUAAAUACGUGCCAGCAGCCGCGGUAAUACGUAUGUCACAAGCGUUAUCCGGAUUUAUUGGGCGUAAAGCGCGUCUAGGUGGUUAUGUAAGUCUGAUGUGAAAAUGCAGGGCUCAACUCUGUAUUGCGUUGGAAACUGUGUAACUAGAGUACUGGAGAGGUAAGCGGAACUACAAGUGUAGAGGUGAAAUUCGUAGAUAUUUGUAGGAAUGCCGAUGGGGAAGCCAGCUUACUGGACAGCUACUGACGCUGAAGCGCGAAAGCGUGGGUAGCAAACAGG
rnacentral:rRNA from 1 species